rnacentral:rRNA from 1 species
GACGAACCGUGCGAACGUUAUUCGGAAUCACUGGGCUUAAAGCGCGUGUAGGCGGAUGGGAACGUCGGUAGUUGAAAGCCCCCGGCUCAACCGGGGAAGUGGUGCCGAAACGACCCGUCUGGAGGGACGUAGGGGACCUGGAACUUCCGGUGGAGCGGUGAAAUGCGUUGAGAUCGGAAGGAACGCCCGUGGCGAAAGCGAGGUCCUGGACGUCUACUGACGCUGAGACGCGAAAAGCUAGGGGAGCAAACAGG